rnacentral:tRNA from 9 species
GGAGAGGUGGCAGAGUGGUCGAAUGCGCCUCACUCGAAAUGAGGUUCGGGGUAACAGCCGACGUGGGUUCGAAUCCCACCCUCUCCG